rnacentral:rRNA from 1 species
AUUGAACGCUGGCGGAAUGCUUUACACAUGCAAGUCGAACGGCAGCACGGGGGCAACCCUGGUGGCGAGUGGCGAACGGGUGAGUAAUACAUCGGAACGUGCCCAGUCGUGGGGGAUAACGUAGCGAAAGCUACGCUAAUACCGCAUACGAUCUCUGGAUGAAAGCGGGGGGCCGCAAGGCCUCGCGCGAUUGGAGCGGCCGAUGGCAGAUUAGGUAGUUGGUGGGGUAAAGGCUCACCAAGCCGACGAUCUGUAGCUGGUCUGAGAGGACGACCAGCCACACUGGGACUGAGACACGGCCCAGACUCCUACGGGAGGCAGCAGUGGGGAAUUUUGGACAAUGGGCGCAAGCCUGAUCCAGCCAUUCCGCGUGCAGGAUGAAGGCCCUCGGGUUGUAAACUGCUUUUGUACGGAACGAAACGGUGCUCUCUAAUACAGGGCGCUAAUGACGGUACCGUAAGAAUAAGCACCGGCUAACUACGUGCCAGCCGCCGCGGUAA